UGGGGAAUAUUGGACAAUGGGCGAAAGCCUGAUCCAGCAACGCCGCGUGGAGGAUGAAUGCCUUCGGGUUGUAAACUCCUGUCAGGUGGGACGAAAAGAUCUCGGUCAAUACCCGGGGUCCUUGACGGUACCACCGGAGGAAGCCCCGGCUAACUCCGUGCCAGCAGCCGCGGUAAUACGGAGGGGGCAAGCGUUAUUCGGAAUUAUUGGGCGUAAAGGGCGCGUAGGCGGCAUGGCAAGUCAGUGGUGAAAUCCCUCGGCUCAACCGAGGAACUGCCUCUGAAACUGCCUAGCUUGAGGCCGGGAGAGGGUAGUGGAAUUCCCAGUGUAGCGGUGAAAUGCGUAGAUAUUGGGAGGAACACCGGUGGCGAAGGCGGCUACCUGGACCGGUUCUGACGCUGAGGCGCGAAAGUGUGGGGAGCAAACAGGAUUAGAUACCCUGGUAGUCCACACUGUAAACGAUGAGCACUCGGUGCCGCGGGUGUCGACCCCUGCGGUGCCUUAGGAAACCCGUUAAGUGCUCCGCCUGGGGAGUACGGUCGCAAGGCUG
rnacentral:rRNA from 1 species